rnacentral:lncRNA from 1 species
CCUGCCCUCCGCUUCUAGAGCAGAAAUCUCUGGGGUCUCCCCUCUCCCCAGCCUCUGGCUGGAGCUGAUUAGAUCCUGAGCAACACUGUUCUCAGGAAUCACCUUGUGGAACUGCUGGUCCCUUGGAGCCCCGCUGCCAGAAUUGGCUUCCCCUCAGUUGUGGGGUCCAGGCCAGAGUUGGCCCGGCUACUCCUCUGGUCCAGGCUCAAGCAGGAAUCAGAGUCAGGGGCAGUACUCUGCUCAGAGAGCUGGCCUCAAGUGAAGUUUAUUCCAAAUAUCUCCCAAGGGGAUAACUUAGCUUUUCAGUGAACACAGUUCCCAG